AAUCCCUAGCCCCCGCCCCCGCCCCCGCCGCGCCGUAGCCUAGCUCGACUGACGAGAAGCCCCGCCGUGCGCCUCCGCCCCCGCUGCCGAGAAGCCUCUCACGCGCGGAGCCAUUCCUGUUGGCGUGCCUGCUGCCCCAACCCCGUCCGCAGUUUCGGGGGAUUCGUUUCUCAGGGGGCAGGGGUGGGGAAGGUUUCAAGGGCUGCCAAAUCUUGGAAAUACUACAUGUUUCUUCAAUGCAGUGCUGCAGAGCCUCCAAGGGCUUGUCAGGUUUCGCAGCAUGAUGGUAGGACCAGAUGUUCCAUCAGGACUGGAGCCAUUGCUAUGUCACUCAAGAAGCUGUUCCAAUUCUACUAUAAGAAUUCCACUGUUUCUAGUACAGAACAGUUUUAGGUGCCUAGAUCUAAAGAUAAUGACAUCACCACUUAUCGGUUAGCAGUUGUUGUUGAGCACCUGGGAACCAUGGCAGGACGGCAUUAUGUUGCAUAUGUAAGAUCUGGCAAGAUAGGGGGUCAGCAGCAGUAGAACCGGGCCACCAAGUCUUGGUUUUAUCUUUUAUGCAAGCGACACACAAGUCAGAGAAGCCUCUCUAGAGUAAGUUCUCAACUAUGGGAGGCUUGCAUUCUUUUUUACCAAAGGAUGGUGGACUACGAAUUAUGUCAACUUUUGUUUUAAUCAGAUUUGGGGUUUGGGGUUUUUGCUAGAUCACAGUUCAAAAUAAUUUCAACACUGGAAUAGAAGGGGCCUUUUUUGUAUGUGUUGUAGGCACACAUAGCAAUGGUUUCAGUGCGGAGGUUAUUUACGGUGGAUUUUUCAUGGGGAUUGGAAGUAGCAGAUCCUACGUUGAUGGAAAUCAAAUGAUACUUGUAGAAUUUAAGGAGUGAACCUGAAUGUGAAGCGGGAUAUAAAUUCUCUCUUCAUACUAUUAAUUGGAUACCGGAACUACAGAAAGCAAAUAGCAAAGGCAGGGAUAUCAUUGACUGUUAGUGUCACCAUUUUUUAGGGGGUGAACAUGAUUACAGAGCAAGUACUACUGCUGAAGCAUAUUAGGAUUCUUCGUGAUAUUUAUGGGCAACUAUAGGCCUCUAAACAUGCCAAUUGCUCCGAUGUUUUGCAUAAUUGGAAUUUUGCUGAAAGGGGAAAUUUCCUCUAAUGUUAUCCGAUAAACAUAUAGUUUGGAUAAAUAUUUCAGUGUUGUAGUCAAAGAAGACAUGAAACUUUUAACAGUUUUAUUUCCUGAUGGACACGAAGGGUGUACUUUUACUCUGAAGGAUCAGUAAAUAGCGGGGCAACAGGGGUGGCUGUGGGACUGGAGCAGUGGAACGUGGCAACUCUGGAAGAAACUACGGAGGAACUCAAUAAGUGGAGAAGUGCAUUAGAGAGUGCUUUAGCGCAGGCAUCAAGUGUAGCGAGUACAGCGGGGCAAAAUCCAAUAUUCAACACUGAUGCAACAGAACCUUCUGAAGCUUCAACUGAACAUUUUCUUAUGGCAGGAGAAUGACAGACAGUAUGGUUGAAAUGGCAAGGUCUGGACAGAGGUUUCUUACUGUGUAUUAUGAUCAUGGGCCCAAUGUGGUGGGGAAUGACAUGGACGAUGUCGUGAUAUAUCCCACUGCCGAGCUGCCUCCUGUCAUCAGUCCUCAAAAGCCAAGGAAUCAUAUGCACUCAAGUCCUGAAGAGAAGCCAGAAAGCCAGAUUGAUGAGGCAGAAAGUCAGCUUGAUGAUUCUGAUAGUAAUGAGAAGGUUGGCAGUGAGAAAGAUUCAGAUGAUCCGGAUUAUGAUGCCAUAGUUGACAGUGACUAUGGUCUUGAAGAUGGAGAUAUUUGUGAUGAUGACUUUGACGAUUUUGCUGAUAAGAAGGGGAAGACAAAGUUAGCUGAAGAAGAACAAUCUGAUGAAGAAGAGCUCAAGUACCCAGAAUCAGAUGAUGAUGGACAGAUCAAGUUUAAUUUCAAAAUUUUCAGAGAAUAGGAUAUGAGUAGUCCAGUGUUCACUGUUGGACAAAAUUUUCCCAUUGUUGAUGUGUUGAGGACUUCUAUCAAGGAGUAUUCUUGCAAGGAGAGAGUAAACAUUAUGUUGAACCGGUAUGGGCCCUAGCCCAUCAAGAUCUGUCUCUUGGGCCCAAGCCCAUGAGAGGUGCUGACCUAGAAGAGGAGCCCCUCUUCCCUUCUCCCGUGUGAGCCGCCACAUCUGAGACACACACUCACACAGGAAACAAGACAGGAAGCGAGGCUGCUGUCUGAAGGUACCCAUCUCCCGAUUCGACAUGGUAUCGAGCCAGGCGACGACGGUGACGGCGUAGUCCCUCACCGGAGAGGCGGCGGUGGGGCCCAGCGGGGUCAGGCGAGAAAGGAGGCUGCGUGCGUGCGCGAGGCGGCGGGUCUGCUAUGGUGCGUGCGGCGGCGGCGCGGCUGGGCUCGAGGAGCUGCGACGCGGCCGGGAAGGUGCUGCUUCCUCUUGUCCUGCUUCGCGUCCCUGGGGUGGCUAGCUGCAAAGGGGGCGGCCGAGGAGGGCUGCUGCGGGCUGUGCAGGCGGCUGCGGCAAGAAGAGGAGGAGGAAGAAGGCAGCGGCGGAUUUGGGCUGUGUGCGAGUCAGGAUGCGGCGGGGAGCUGCUGCUGUUGGUGCUGCUGAACAGAAGAGGAACUGCAACUGCUGCUGCUGCCUUGUGUUGUUCCUGGA